rnacentral:rRNA from 1 species
CCUACGGGAGGCAGCAGUGAGGAAUAUUGGUCAAUGGGAGAGAUCCUGAACCAGCCAAGCCGCGUGAGGGAAGACGGCCCUAUGGGUUGUAAACCUCUUUUGUCGGAGAACAAAACCCGGGACGUGUCCCGGACUGCGUGUAUCCGAAGAAAAAGCAUCGGCUAACUCCGUGCCAGCAGCCGCGGUAAUCCGGAGGAUGCGAGCGUUAUCCGGAUUUAUUGGGUUUAAAGGGUGCGUAGGCGGUCCGUUAAGUCCGCGGGAAAAUUGCGGGGCUAAACCCCGUCGAGCCGUUGAAACUGGGAGACUUGAGUUGGCGAGAAGUAGGCGGAAUGCGGGGUGUAGCGGUGAAAUGCAUAGAUAUCGCGCAGAACUCCGAUUGCGAAGGCAGCGUACCGGCGCCAGACUGACGCUGAGGCACGAAAGCGUGGGGAUCGAACAGGAUUAGAUACCCGGGUAGUC